ACGAGCGGCGGACGGCUGAGUAACACGUAGGAACGUACCCCAAACUGAGGGAUAAGCACCAGAAAUGGUGUCUAAUACCGCAUGUGAUCUUCGGAUUAAAGCUUCGGCGGUUUGGGAACGGCCUGCGCAUGAUUAGCUUGUUGGUGAGGUAAUAGCUCACCAAGGCGACGAUCAUUAGCUGGUCUGAGAGGAUGACCAGCCAGACUGGAACUGAGAACGGUCCAGACUCCUACGGGAGGCAGCAGUAGGGAAUUUUCCACAAUGGGGGCAACCCUGAUGGAGCAACGCCGCGUGCAGGAUGAAGGUCUUCGGAUUGUAAACUGCUUUUAUCUGUGACGAAUAUGACGGUAGCAGAUGAAUAAGGAUCGGCUAACUCCGUGCCAGCAGCCGCGGUCAUACGGAGGAUCCAAGCGUUAUCCGGAAUUACUGGGCGUAAAGAGUUGCGUAGGUGGCAUUGUAAGUAGGUAGUGAAAGCGUUCGGCUCAACCGGAUAAACAUUACCUAAACUGCAAAGCUAGAGGAUGAGAGAGGUUAUUGGAAUUCUCAGUGUAGGAGUGAAAUCCGUAGAUAUUGGGAGGAACACCGAUGGCGUAGGCAGAUAACUGGCUCAUUCCUGACACUCAGGCACGAAAGCGUGGGGAGCAAACGGGAUUAGAUACCCCCGGUAGUCCACGCCGUAAACUAUGGAUGCUAGCUGUAUUCGGUAUCGACCCCGGAUGUAGCGAAGCUAACGCGUUAAACAUCCCGCCUGUGGAGUACGGUCGCAAGACUAAAACAUAAAGGAAUUGACGGGGACCCGCAUAAGCGGUGGAGCGUGUUGUUUAAUUCGAUGGUAAACGAAGAACCUUACCCAGGUUUGACAUCCUUGGAAUUUCUGCGAAAGCAGAGAGUGCUUUAUUGAGCCAAGUGACAGGUGUUGCAUGGCCGUCGUCAGCUCGUGUCGUGAGAUGUUUGGUUAAGUCCAUCAACGAGCGCAACCCUUAUAGUCUGUUGUAUUUCUCAGGCUAGACUGCCCUGGCAACAGGGAGGAAGGGGGGGAUGAUGUCAGGUCAGUAUUACCCUUACAUCUGGGGCUACAAACACGCUACAAUGGCCGAUACAAAGGGCUGCCAAAGCGCAAGCUGGAGCAAAUCCCAUCAAAGCCGGUCUCAGUUCGGAUAGCAGGCUGAAACUCGCCUGCUUGAAGUCGGAAUCGCUAGUAACGGUAGGUCAGCUAUACUACCGUGAAUACGUUCCCGGGUCUUGUACACACCGCCCGUCAAACCAUGAAAGUCGCCAAUACCUGACGUGUGAGCUUCGCCUCGCCCUAAGGUAGGGGAGGUGAUUGGGGUUAAGUCGUAACAAGGUAACCGUA
rnacentral:rRNA from 1 species